rnacentral:rRNA from 1 species
UACAGAGGUCCCAAGCGUUGUUCGGAUUCACUGGGCGUAAAGGGUGCGUAGGCGGUCGGGUAAGUCUGACGUGAAAUCUCCGGGCCUAACCCGGAAACUGCGUCGGAUACUAUCCGGCUAGAGGAUUGGAAGGGAGACUGGAAUACUUGGUGUAGCAGUGAAAUGCGUAGAUAUCGGGAGGAACACCUGUGGCGAAAGCGGCGCACUGGACCAUAACUGACGCUGAGGCGCGAAAGCUAGGGGAGCAAACAGG